rnacentral:sRNA from 1 species
AUUUUUAAAAUUAAUGUCAUAUAAUCUAAAAAUUAAUAGUUAAUUGAGAUGGUAAGGAUAAAAUUGUAAUUUUAUUUUUGUUGUGAGAUCGUGAGUAUGAAAAUAAUAACAUUUAAUUGUUUGCGUAUAAAAUUGCACAGUUUUAUUACUUCAUGUCUUUUUCUUCUAAGCAAAAACAAUUGGGUAUUAAAUGUCCAAAUAAAAAUUAAUUGAGGUUUUUUUUGGUUUUUUUCGUUCUUCUUUAGUUGAUGUUUUAUAAAAAUGCACACCUAUUAAGAAA